ACAGGGGGAUAACAGUCAGAAAUGGCUGCUAAUACCGCAUAACCCUUUCGUACCGCAUGGUACAGAAGGAAAAGAUUUAUCGGUAUAAGAUGGACCCGCGUCUGAUUAGCUAGUUGGUGGGGUAACGGCCCACCAAGGCGACGAUCAGUAGCCGACUUGAGAGAGUGAUCGGCCACAUUGGGACUGAGACACGGCCCAAACUCCUACGGGAGGCAGCAGUGGGGAAUAUUGCACAAUGGGGGAAACCCUGAUGCAGCGACGCCGCGUGAAGGAAGAAGUAUUUCGGUAUGUAAACUUCUAUCAGCAAGGAAGAAAAUGACGGUACUUGACUAAGAAGCCCCGGCUAACUACGUGCCAGCAGCCGCGGUAAUACGUAGGGGGCAAGCGUUAUCCGGAUUUACUGGGUGUAAAGGGAGCGUAGGUGGCAAGGCAAGUCAGAUGUGAAAGCCCGGGGCUCAACCCCGGGAUUGCAUUUGAAACUGCCUGGCUAGAGUGCAGGAGAGGUAAGUGGAAUUCCGUAGUGUAGCGGUGAAAUGCGUAGAUAUUAGGAGGAACACCAGUGGCGAAGGCGGCUUACUGGACUGUAACUGACACUGAGGCUCGAAAGCGUGGGGAGCAAA
rnacentral:rRNA from 1 species